rnacentral:rRNA from 1 species
UGGGGAAUAUUGGACAAUGGGGGCAACCCUGAUCCAGCAAUGCCGCGUGUGUGAAGAAGGCCUGCGGGUUGUAAAGCACUUUUGGUUGGGAAGAAGGCAGGUGUGUGAAUAACACGCUUGAUUGACGGUACCGACAGAAAAAGCACCGGCUAACUCUGUGCCAGCAGCCGCGGUAAUACAGAGGGUGCAAGCGUUAAUCGGAAUGACUGGGCGUAAAGGGCGCGUAGGUGGUUGAUUAAGUGAGAUGUAAAAUCCCUGGGCUUAACCUAGGAAGGUCAUUUCAUACUGGUUGACUAGAGUACAGGAGAGGGCAGUGGAAUUUCCGGUGUAGCGGUGAAAUGCGUAGAUAUCGGAAGGAACACCAGUGGCGAAGGCGUCUGCCUGGCCUGAUACUGACACUGAGGCGCGAAAGCGUGGGUAGCGAACAGG